rnacentral:snRNA from 1 species
UCCUAGCAUGGCAGUGGGAGUAA